GGAUAGCAGUUUAAGUAAAAUAUUAACUAUCCUUAGUAACACGUUAAGUGUAAGUGCUUUUUCACAUUAAUUCACUGGAAAUUAAACUAUAUCAUCUGAAUCAGUGUAACUCUGAAACUGCCUUUACUAAUUUUAACUUGUUUUUCUUUUUAUUGGUACCAGGGAUUGAAUUCCCGACUCCGUGCCUGCAAGGCAACCACUUAUGCCACUGAGCUAAAUCCCAGGCCUAAUUUUAACUUAAUAUUACUGUCUUUGGCACUUUGGAAUGUUGAAAUAAGAAAGGAUGCUGUGGAAUUAAGAUUUCUGUUUUCCUUUAGAAGCCCAUCACAAGGAUUAAUAAUCCAGUGGAUAUUAUAAUUCCCAAAAGCAAGAACAAGUUAAAUAACUGUCCUCCAGUUUCCCUAAGAAUAGGACUCCUGGAAUCAAUUUUUACUCUAAACUGGGAAGAGAAGAUCAGCAGAGGGGGAAAAGCUAUAUUCCAGAGCUGGAAGUCUGGCUGAGGAAGCAAAUUACAGGCACAGUGAAGCUUGCCUGGGAAUUCCCAGACUGCUUUCAUCAUUUCUCAAGGGGACUGGAAGAAAACUGGACGCAGGCCACACAAGCCUUUUGAGGAAGCUUUCUGCUUUGCCCUGGACAUUAAAGGAAAAUAAUUUCAUCGGCAAAGGUGUACGGAACAUUUACAUAUACCGGAUUGAGAUCUGACUGGUUUGGACCCUGGACAACAUGCCUGGGACACCAGGAAAGGACCUGGCCUUCAGCAUGCUAUCAGCUUUGCUGGUGUUGGACCUUGUACGGAUUUGCCCCGCUGUCUCUUAAGUUCAAUCCUGCAUUCUACAAGAUUUUUAAAUGAAGUUUUAAUAUACACACUGGAAAGUUUUUUUACCUUGUUGUUGUUUUGUUUUGUUUUUUCCCCUAAGUAGGUAAUACGCCAUUAGGUGAAAGACAAAUGGUGGUGGGAUAAUAUCACAACAUUCAAAAGCAUUAGUAAGAGCAAUGCAGAAAUUCUGAUAGAUUUAAAAACUUGCAACAUUUUAAUCAGAUAUAUUUUGCACGUGAA